UUGAUGAUUUUGAUCUCUCCCUCAACUCGAGUGCUGAUUACGAUAGGCCUAUAUUGUAUUACAUACAAAUAUGUUAUAUUUCUAAUUUUAGUAAAAGGUUGGACACACAAUUAACAUUACUUAUAAAGUAGGCUACUCAAUCAUCAAUGCAGAAUUCUGUCAUAAAGUCUUAUAUGCCACUCCGUUCUCCCUAUUUCAACUAGGUGUGUUUGCGUUUUGUGUGUACACACUUGCUCAACAUGGUCUGGUGGAUCAUCACAGGGGAAUUCAGCUUCAUCUGAAGAGUCAAUCUGGAAAAGCCAAAUUUAUCAAUGAGAUUAGGAUACCCACAGCAAAUAGAAAGUAGCUGUUUGUGGCAGCUUGAACUUAAAUUACAAUUGUACAGUUAUAAUUUCUGAACAUCCAUUCUCUUAAUUAACUUUGUGUUUAAUGUGUACAUACCAUAGACUGUGUAUUAAUUUGAUCAUCAAGGUCUCCGUCAUCAGAGAAUUCAGCUUCAAAUGAAGGCCUUGAAUCAAUCUGGAAGCCAGUGGACAAAUAGAGGUUAGCCUAGCUGUAGGGAAUUACUUCGACAAAGUGUCGCAAUGAGGCGCUCUUAUUCCAGUUUUUCUUACCUCCUCGGUCGAACUUGCUGGCCGUUCCUCUGUUCUCAAUUGACUUCUGUACCAUUUUGUAGUUUUUGGCACAGGUAUAGAAAAAUCGGAAAAAUAUCGUUUAUAAUUUCGUGAAAUUUUGCAGUUAGACGACUGUCAAUGCAGACAAAUUUAAACUGAAAACAACAACUGAACAACUGAAAAAGACAACUGUAAACCCGCAAGCGUCUCACGCGCUGCGAAUGCGGUUGUAAACAUAUGCUACGCAUUUGCAGCGCGUGAGACGUCCGUUGAAUAUUUGACAAUCAAGUCGUGAGUUUUAGUCGUGAGUUUGCUACGGAAAAAUAAAGAAAAUGGCAAAAUAUGCACUAUUUGACUUUCCGGAUGAAGGGGCUGUGGACAUAGGCGAAAUAGCAUGGGUGGUAGGCGAAGUAAAUUUAAAAGAUCCUUUUGUAACAUAUAAAGUUCAUUGGCCAAACAAGGGAAGGAUUGUGUCAUGUCCAAGAUGGAUUAUAUCAGUCAGUGGUAAGUAACACAAUUUUUUUUCUCCUUUGACUAUGUUUAUAUAAAGUAUGUGCAUAACUACAUACAUAUGGUAAUAUUUCAAAUAUCACGGUAAACGUUUUCGUUUCAAAAACGUUGUUAAUUGUUAAGCUCGCAACGGUAGGCACGAUAAGGCCGCCUAGCUCGCGGCCUAUAAUGUGAGGCACGGGAAAAAUAAUAAAAAAUAAUACUAGCAUUUUAAACACACAUAAUGAAAACGUCAUAAUUUUGACGUUUUCAGACAACAGAGAGGAGUUAGUUUGCAAGAGAAGGCAUUAUCUUGAUGGUGGAGACAAACUGUCGAGCCCGGAGGAGAAAUGGAAGGGGAAAAGAAAGAAACUGAAGAAUGGUCGAUAUUCUGACGACGACGUAGUAUCGCUGGAUCCUCAGUUAAGUCAAUGUAAGAAGAAGAAGAAGAAGAGACAAGAAACCCAGGUCUUAACGUCUUAAUGGAACUGGAAAAGCAAGGUAUUGGUGCAGUGAUGUACAAAUAUUCACCUUAUGGAAGUGCUUCUUAACAUCAGUGAAUUAUUGUAAUGUGAUGUAGCCUAAUGUUGUCUGUCAUAUUGUACACCAUGUGGUCGCCAACUGGCCUGCUUUGCCUGGCCUGUCAGAUCAUUUUGACUUUUAGCUUUCUGUCAACUUAUUAAGCAUAUUAACAAGAUUAGAUUUGAGUAUUCAUCUCCUGUUCCGCCUGCAUUGUCUACUCGCUCAGGCUCAUCCCCCCUGCUGACCUCUGUUGUACAGUCUUGAUGUAACCCUUAACUCUAUGUACAUCUUCUGUUUGUCAUAGGAUCAUGUCAGCUGAACUAAAUUAAUGAAACCAGGAAUGAAGUAAGAUCCACUAAUGUAAUAAACUGUCUGCACUUCAUGUUCUACCUACAAUUAAAGUUUUUAUUUCCUAACUCUAUAGUUUAGGGAUAGAUACAGCAAUAUAUUCCUGUAAUCUAUCAGCUGUAAGCUUUGUACCCUCUAACUGGCUUUUGUAUUUGCCCAGGUGUAUGUGAGUCAGUUUUGUUUUUUUAAUGGAAUUUCUAUUUUCAGUGCCAUCACCCAUCUUGUGAGCUGUUGAGGGAGAACAACCACAGGCUGCAGAGGGAAAAUGAUUCUCUCAAGGCAAAAAAAGCAACAUUGAAAUUGCUGCCAGACGUUUUGCAGAAGAUGGAGGAGUUUCUCCGCUCAGCACCAAGACCAACGACAACACCAAUACCAACACCAACACCAAGACCAAGACCAGAACCAACACUAUCACCAGCACCAACAGCAGUUCCAGCACCAGCAACAGAAGACCCAUCACCAGCUCCAGGUCCAUCAUCAGCAUCAGCAACAGAGGCCCUGGGUCACUCUGUAAGAAUCUGUUUGUAUUUAUUUGUAUAGGUUGUUACUUAGUUUCAGUUGCACUGUUUUUCUAAAUGCAUCAGCCGUACACUCGGUUAAUCUAAAUGCAUAUAUAUAUCAUUGAGGUAAGACGCUAGUCUGCUGUAUGUUGAAGUAGAUUUGUGGUAAUGUUAUCUACUUGCAUUAAAGGUCAUUCCAAAAGGACUUGUGGAGCGCUGCUCCUUCUAAAGCCCCCAGAAGUUCAUAAAUGAUCUCCUUCAUGGGAUGUAUACCAGGGAAUACAUGGCAGGCCAUUCAGUGACUGGCCAGUCAUCCAGCAGCUGCACAGAAGGAAAACCUGGCCUAGCCAAACCAGACCUUGUUGAAAUAGGAAGUAGGUAUAUAGAAAUGAGAAAAGAUGUUGGUUGAGUGAUACCCUCAUUCUCAUGCUCAUCUUUCGUGUAUGUGUUUGUGUGUGUGUGUGUGUGUAUUCCCACAGAUGCUGCAAAGUUGAAGUUCACCUACGUAACUGAUAUGAACAUAAAAGCAUUUAUACGUAAAAAGCUGAACAAUGCUGCCAAAUUUCAGAAACAAUAAAUUAUCAACUGUUUAAAGAACUAAACUUUUGUUCUAUUUUUUUGGUAUUUUAGCAGUCAGUAGAAAACACUGUGUUAAUGGUGGUUGUAAGCCUAAGUUAUGUGCAGUGAAUUAUUGUUACAGCACUAUGGUUAAAAAUGGCAACAACGAAAAGUGAUACAGUUGAAAAUAUCCAUUAGGUAAAGUACAAUGACAUAGUUAAAAGAACAACAAAAUACUGCAUAAUGCAGUUAUUGUAAUGCAGUAUAUAUAGUACUAUGGUAUCGUAAUUGUAGUAUUCUAUAGCAAAAUAAAAGUAUAAUAAAAGUUCUGUAAUUUACUUCAGUAGAUUGUAGUUUCUGUAGUAAA